rnacentral:antisense_RNA from 1 species
CAAAAUCAUGCCACUGCACUCCAGCCUGAGCAACAGAGAAAGACCCUGUCUCAAACAACAUCAACAAACCAGGAACUCAAUCAUUUCCAACUGUGUGAAGGGCCAAGAGGAAAAUAUUCAGGGUGAAAGUCCAUGUGAGUGCUGGCUAAUAGGCUAAAAAUGGAAACACACGACGGACCUUCCAGAAAAGACAUUCCCUGAUAAAAAGCAAUGGUGCCUAUUGAUGCGUCUGCUCUUUGUUCUACCCUUGCCUUCCUGCCUCGAAUGAGAAUAUCAAGAGGCCCCUGGCAUGCAGGAACUUGCAGUAUAAAAUACGAAACCUCCUUGGGAACAGGAGGACACAAACCACAUGCUGUGGGUGGCAGAACAGAAAGAGAGGAGCCUGGGUCCCUUCUGGCACCAAGUUGAGGCUGCAGCCACCUGAUCUGUCUCCCUCUGGAAUUUUCCUUAUGACAGAAAAAUAAAUUCCUGUUUGGCUAAACCAC